rnacentral:rRNA from 1 species
UACGGAGGAGGCAAGCGUUAUCCGGAAUUAUUGGGCGUAAAGCGUCCGCAGGUGGCACUUCAAGUCUGUCGUCAAAGACUGGGGCUUAACCCUGGAAAGGCGGUGGAAACUGAAGCGCUAGAGUGCGGUAGGGGUAGAGGGAAUUCCCGGUGUAGCGGUGAAAUGCGUAGAGAUCGGGAAGAACACCAGUGGCGAAGGCGACUACCUGGCCUGUUCUUGACGCUGAGGCGCGAAAGCUAGGGGAGCAAACGGG